GUGCCAGCAGCCGCGGUAAUACGUAGGCAGCGAGCGUUGUUCGGAGUUACUGGGCGUAAAGGGUGUGUAGGCGGUCUUCUAAGUUUGGUGUGAAAUCUCCCGGCUCAACUGGGAGGGUGCGCCGAAAACUGGGAGGCUAGAGUGCGGGAUGGGAGAGUGGAAUUCCUGGUGUAGCGGUGAAAUGCGUAGAUAUCAGGAGGAACACCUGUGGUGUAGACGGCUCUCUGGACCGCAACUGACGCUGAGACACGAAAGCGUGGGUAGCAAACAGGAUUAGAUACCCCAGUAGUCC
rnacentral:rRNA from 1 species